CCUCCCAACAUGACACAUGUCAGUACACGUGUGGCUGGAACAAUAGGUUAUUUGGCACCAGAGUAUGCAAUAAGGGGCCAGCUGACAAAAAAAGCAGAUAUUUAUAGUUUUGGUGUCCUCCUUGUGGAAAUUGUCAGUGGGAGAUGCAACACAAACACACGAUUACCUAUUGAUGAACAAUAUCUCUUAGAAAGGACCUGGGAACUUUAUGAGCGAAAGGAGCUGG
rnacentral:misc_RNA from 1 species